CCUCCUUCUUCUUCUUCAUCUAGAAAGCUCAGAUCCAUCUCUAGAAAGCAUGCCGCUACCUUCUGAUGGCAGACAUCCCAUCUGAUGGUGAAGACCUCCUGGUUGAAGUCGAUUUUAUCCUAGGAGAACUCCUCAAACAUGCAAAAAGCUUCCAUUGCCGCAUGCUCAGCUUCAGCAACUCGAUCCUCUGCCUUCUUCUCGGCUUCAAUGG
rnacentral:lncRNA from 1 species